UCAGCAGGAAAGGAAACAGUGAUGACUGUGCGCUUGGCAGGAAUGACAAGUCCUGGAGUCUGGACUGCCAUGGUGAAAGUUUUUCUGGCUG